rnacentral:rRNA from 1 species
GGGGAAUUUUGGACAAUGGGCGAAAGCCUGAUCCAGCCAUGCCGCGUGAGUGAAGAAGGCCUUCGGGUUGUAAAGCUCUUUUAGUCGGAAAGAAAGAGUUGCAAUGAAUAAUUGUGAUUUAUGACGGUACCGACAGAAAAAGCACCGGCUAACUACGUGCCAGCAGCCGCGGUAAUACGUAGGGUGCGAGCGUUAAUCGGAAUUACUGGGCGUAAAGGGUGCGCAGGCGGUCUUGCAAGUCAGAUGUGAAAGCCCCGGGCUUAACCUGGGAAUUGCGGUUGAAACUACAAGGCUAGAGUGCAGCAGAGGGGAGUGGAAUUCCAUGUGUAGCAGUGAAAUGCGUAGAGAUGUGGAAGAACACCGAUGGCGAAGGCAGCUCUCUUGGUUGACACUGACGCUCAUGCACGAAAGCGUGGGGAGCAAACA